CAAUAGCGUAUAUUAAAGUUGUUGCGGUUAAAAAGCUCGUAGUUGGAUUUGUGGUUCGUCCCGCCGGCUGGGUCAUUGACUUUUGCUGUGCUGGUCGUCCAUCCUUGGGUGGAAUCUGUGUGGCAUUAGGUUGUCGCGCAGGGGAUGCCCAUCGUUUACUGUGAAAAAAUUAGAGUGUUCAAAGCAGGCUUAUGCCGUUGAAUAUAUUAGCAUGGAAUAAUGAUAUAGGACCUUGGUACUAUUUUGUUGGUUUGCGCAUCGAGGUAAUGAUUAAUAGGGACAGUUGGGGGUAUUCGUAUUCCAUUGUAAGAGGUGAAAUUCUUGGAUUUUUGGAAGACGAACUACUGCGAAAGCAUUUACCAAGGAUGUUUUCAUUAA
rnacentral:rRNA from 1 species